rnacentral:sRNA from 1 species
AGCCAAAAUGGCUACGG